GAAGUAUACCAUGUAGCAUUAAGCUUCUAACUUAAAUUCUUAGUGGUGAAACUCCAUUAAUACUUCU
rnacentral:tRNA from 1 species